UACGUAGGUGGCAAGCGUUGUCCGGAUUUACUGGGCGUAAAGAGCGCGCAGGCGGUCGAAUAAGUCGAAUGUGAAAGCCCCCGGCUCAACUGGGGAGGGUCAUUCGAUACUGUUCGACUUGAAGGCAGGAGAGAGAAGCAGAAUUCCCGGUGUAGUGGUGAAAUGCGUAGAUAUCAGGAGGAACACCGGUGGCGAAGGCGGGUCUCUGGGCCGAUACUGACGCUGAGGAGCGAAAGCGUGGGGAGCGAACAGG
rnacentral:rRNA from 1 species